GUGCCAGCCGCCGCGGUAAUACGUAGGGUGCGAGCGUUAAUCGGAAUUACUGGGCGUAAAGGGUGCGUAGGCGGGUCUUUAAGUCAGGGGUGAAAUCCUCCGGCUCAACCGGAGAACGGCCUCGGAUACUGGCGGUCUCGAGGGAGGUAGGGGCGUGCGGAACUAAGGGUGGAGCGGUGAAAUGCGUUGAUAUCCUUAGGAACUCCGGUGGCGAAGGCGGCACGCUGGACCUCUUCUGACGCUGAGGCGCGAAAGCCAGGGGAGCAAACGGGAUUAGAUACCCCCGUAGUCC
rnacentral:rRNA from 1 species